rnacentral:rRNA from 1 species
UAAUACGUAGGGGGCAAGCGUUGCUCGGAAUUACUGGGCGUAAAGGGUGUGUAGGUGGCUGAGCAAGUCAAAAAUGAAAUCCCGAGGCUCAACUUCGGAAUUGUUUUUGAAACUGUUUAGCUUGAGGAUAGUAGAGGAGAACGGAAUUCCCGGUGGAGCGGUGAAAUGCGUUGAUAUCGGGAGGAACACCAGAGGCGAAGGCGGUUCUCUGGGCUAUUCCUGACACUGAAACACGAAAGCUAGGGGAGCAAACGGGAUUAGAUACCCCGGUAGUCCUAGCCGUAAACGAUGGGCACUAGAUAUUUCUACGUUCUGUGGGAGUGUCGAAGCUAACGCGUUAAGUGCCCCGCCUGGGGAGUACGGUCGCAAGGCUG